GUGGGGAAUAAUGGACAAUGGGCGAAAGCCUGAUCCAGCAAUGCCGCGUGAGUGAUGAAGGCCUUAGGGUUGUAAAGCUCUUUUACCAGGGAUGAUAAUGACAGUACCUGGAGAAUAAGCUCCGGCUAACUCCGUGCCAGCAGCCGCGGUAAUACGGAGGGAGCUAGCGUUGUUCGGAAUUACUGGGCGUAAAGCGCACGUAGGCGGUUACUCAAGUCAGAGGUGAAAGCCCGGGGCUCAACCCCGGAACUGCCUUUGAAACUAGGUAACUAGAAUCUUGGAGAGGUCAGUGGAAUUCCGAGUGUAGAGGUGAAAUUCGUAGAUAUUCGGAAGAACACCAGUGGCGAAGGCGACUGACUGGACAAGUAUUGACGCUGAGGUGCGAAAGCGUGGGGAGCAAACAGGAUUAGAUACCCGUGUAGUCC
rnacentral:rRNA from 1 species